UCCCCGGCGACGGGGAAUCUGAAGGAAGCCGGCGGCAAACUUCCGGUCUGACGAACAGAAAUCACAUCAGGCAUUAUCAACUGGGUAAGGUUGCUAAGCAAACCAAAGCCCUAAAACUACCCGGAAGUUGAUGGUGUAAAUGUGGCAGAUAGAUGGAAGGAAAGAUUGCGUU
rfam:Acetobacterium wieringae strain DSM 1911 ACWI_contig000044, whole genome shotgun sequence.